AUGUGUAACUCCAACGUCAAGACCGCCGGCGUCGCCCAGAUCGACGGCCGCCCGGUCCUGCAGCCGGCCGGCAACCGCGUCGCGGCGCCCGAAGGCGCCAAGCCGCUCAAGAAAUCCCUGCAGAAGUCGCUCUCGAUGCCUGCUUCGUAUGACAAUGCCGCUGCUGCUGCCGCCACCAGGAAGAGCGGCGCCGUGCUGCCGGUGGUGACGUUCGCGGCGCUGGAGGCGUUCGAGCUGGCCGGCCCCGCCGGGAGCAUCGCGGCGGCGCAGCGGGAGCAUGUCACGCAGGCGCAGGCGCAGCGCAAGAUGCGGAUCGCGCACUACGGGCGCACCGCCUCCUUCUCCCGGGUGGAGGGCAAGGUCGGGGCCACCGCCACCGCGCCCGCGACCGCCACCGCCGCGCUGGAGGAGAAGCGCUGCAGCUUCAUCACGGCAUACUCGGACCCCGUGUAUGUCGCGUACCACGACGAGGAGUGGGGCGUGCCCGUGCACGACGACGAGUUGCUGUUCGAGAUGCUGACGCUGUCCGGCGUGCAGGUCGGGGCCGACUGGGCUUCCAUCCUCAGGAGGAGACACAUCUACAGGGAGGCAUUCUCCGGCUUCGACGUGGACGCGGUCGCCAAGUACACGGAGAAGCAGAUGGCCUCCGUGAGCGCCGGGUAUGGGCUGGACUUGGGCACCAUCAGAGGCGCCGUCAACAACGCCUGCCGCAUUCUCGAGGUGAGGCGAGACUUCGGGUCGUUUGGCAAGUACGUGUGGGGGUUCGUGAACCACAAGCCGCUGUCGCCGGGGUACAAAUACAGCCGGAAGAUCCCGGUGAAGACGUCCAAGUCGGAGUCCAUCAGCAAGGACAUGGUCCGGCGAGGCUUCCGGUUCGUCGGCCCCACCGUGCUCCACUCCUUCAUGCAGGCCGUCGGGCUCACCAACGACCACCUCGUCUCCUGCCCGCGCCACCGCGUCUGCUCCUCUUCCUCCUCCUCCGCCUAA
rnacentral:rRNA from 1 species